rnacentral:rRNA from 1 species
UACGUAGGGUGCAAGCGUUGUCCGGAAUUAUUGGGCGUAAAGAGCUCGUAGGCGGUCUGUCACGUCGGCUGUGAAAACCCGAGGCUCAACCUCGGGCCUGCAGUCGAUACGGGCAGACUAGAGUGAUGUAGGGGAGACUGGAAUUCCUGGUGUAGCGGUGAAAUGCGCAGAUAUCAGGAGGAACACCGAUGGCGAAGGCAGGUCUCUGGGCAUUAACUGACGCUGAGGAGCGAAAGCAUGGGGGAGCGAACAGG